GUAAUAGUGUUAACAUGCUGAGCAUUCAGUAAGUCAGUACAGCUACUUAUUUUUGUGCAGCAGUAAAGCUAAUAAUUCGUAAAAUGUGAGUUACAGUCAUAGUUCUACAGUUUUUCAGAGUAUAUCCAUGCAUUUUUGCAUUUUUAUAACGUGUUUGUAAAGAGUGAAAUCAGCUAACGCAGCUGCGCGAGAAAGCCACAUUCUGAAGUUUUAAAAUGGCGUUGUAGUUUUUUGAAGCUGCUCUCUUGGUCCGUGAACACUACGACAGGAAUUCGCCGAAAACUACAUUUCCCAUCCUGCCUCGCUUCCUCCUGCACGGCUGUGUGGCUAAUUGGUGAUUUUCUCUGCUUCGUCCAAACGGACAGAAAGGGAGGACACAGUUUCCAAGAGUAACAUCAAAGAGAGUCAGCCACCAUCCCCGUCAGAACCUGUUCUAUCUACUUGUUCCUCAGCAAGUGAUCAGGUCAGGGAGGACACAGUUUCCAAGAGUAACAUCAAAGAGAGUCAGCCACCAUCCCCGUCAGAACCUGUUCUAUCUACUUGUUCCUCAGCAAGUGAUCAGGGAGGACACAGUUUCCAAGAGUAACAUCAAAGAGAAUCAGCCACCAUCCCCGUCAGAACCUGUUCUAUCUACUUGUUCCUCAGCAAGUGAUCAGAGGACUGGAAAGAACACAAUAUCAGAAAACAGUGCUCAAGAGAACUAUCAGCUGUUGCAAUCAGGACCUGUUCUGUUUGCUUGUUCCUUAGCAAGUGAUCAAAGGUCUAAGAAGGACACAAUUUCAGAGAGCAGUGCUCAAGAGGACUGUCUGCCAUUGCAGUCCAGACCUGCUCUGUCUGCAUGUUCCUCAGCAAGUGAUAAGAUGAGAAAUUCCAAUCCUGAGAAGAUUGCAUGGGUCACCCCUAUAUCUCAUCAGUCAGAGCCUCUGAAGGAUCACAGCAACAACAGCAGUUCUGGGCAGAGUUCUUCGUCUGGAAAUACUGAUGACGAGCAUGCGCGUGUACCUAAAUUAAGAAGGACUAGAAGUAUUCUAGUAAAACACAUGCACAGAAAA